GAGUUUGAUCCUGGCUCAGGACGAACGCUGGCGGCGUGCCUAACACAUGCAAGUCGAACGGAGAAUUUCAAUAAGUUUACUUAGAGAGAUUUUUAGUGGCGGACGGGUGAGUAACGCGUGGGUAACCUACCCAUAAACUCGGGACAACCCUUGGAAACGAGGGCUAAUACCGAAUAAUCUUUUGAUGCGGCAUCGUAUUAAAAGGAAAGGUGGCCUCUGAAUAUGCUACCGAUUAUGGAUGGACCCGCGUCUGAUUAGCUAGUUGGUGGGGUAAAGGCUCACCAAGCCGACGACGGGUAGCGGGUCUGAGAGGAUGACCCGCUCGAGUGGGACUGAGACACGGCCCACACACCUACGGGUGGCAGCAGUUGGGAAUCUUGCACAAUGGGGGAAACCCUGAUGCAGCGACGCCGCGUGGAGGACGAAGGAUCUAGGUCUGUAAACUCCUUUUAUCGGGAAAGACUUAGGACGGUACCCGAUGAAUAAGCACCGGCUAACUACGUGCCAGCAGCCGCGGUAAGACGUAGGGUGCAAGCGUUGUCCGGAUUUACUGGGCGUAAAGGACGCGUAGGCGGCCUGUUAAGUGUGAAGUGAAAUCUCCAGGGCUCAACCCGGAAACUGCUUCGCAUACUGGCAGGCUUGAGGAAUGCAGAGGUGAGUGGAAUUCCUGGUGUAGCGGUGAAAUGCAUUGAUAUCAGGAGGAACACCCGUGGCGAAGGCGGCUCACUGGGCAUUAUCUGACGCUGAGGCGUGAAAGCGUGGGUAGCAAACAGGAUUAGAUACCCUGGUAGUCCACGCCCUAAACGAUGGAUACUAGGCGUAAGAGGUAUCGACCCCUCUUGUGCCGCAGCUAACGCACUAAGUAUCCCGCCUGGGGACUACGGCCGCAAGGUUGAAACUCAAAUGAAUUGACGGGGACCCGCACAAGCGGUGGAGCAUGUGGAUUAAUUCGAUAAUAACCGAAGAACCUUACCCAGACUUGACAUCGAUCGCAAGCCUUAGAAAUAGGGCCCUCUUCUCACAAGGAAGACGUGAAGACACUUGUUGCAUGGCUGUCGUCAGCUCGUGCCGUGAGGUGUACGGUUAAGUCCGCCAACGAGCGCAACCCUCGUCCUAUGUUGCCAGCACUAAAGGUGGGAACUCAUAGGAGACCGCCGGCGUCAAGCCGGAGGAAGGUGAGGAUGACGUCAAGUCAGCAUGGCAGUUACGUCUGGGGCUUCACACAUGCUACAAUGGACGAAACAAAGGGCAGCAAUACCGCGAGGUGGAGCCAAUCCCAAAAAUACGUCCCCAGUUCAGAUUGCAGUCUGCAACUCGACUGCAUGAAGGCGGAACCGCUAGUAAACGCAGGUCAGCUAUACUGCGUUGAUACGUUCCCGGGUCUUGUACACAC
rnacentral:rRNA from 1 species